rnacentral:rRNA from 1 species
AGAAUCAACGCUGGCGGCGUGCCUAACACAUGCAAGUCGCACGAGAAAGGGGAGCAAUCCCUGAGUAAAGUGGCGCACGGGUGAGUAACACGUGAAUGAUCUACCUCCGAGGUGGGGAAUAACUGAGAGAAAUCUUAGCUAAUACCGCAUAACACUUACGAGUACAAAGCAGCAAUGCGCUUGGAGAGGAGUUCGCGGCCGAUUAGCUAGUUGGCGGGGUAAUGGCCCACCAAGGCGAUGAUCGGUA